rnacentral:rRNA from 1 species
GACGAACGCUGGCGGCGUGCUUAACACAUGCAAGUCGAGCGGUAAGGCCCUUUCGGGGGUACACGAGCGGCGAACGGGUGAGUAACACGUGGGUGACCUGCCCUUAGCUCUGGGAUAAGCCUGGGAAACUGGGUCUAAUACCGGAUAUGACUCCAUGACGCAUGUUGUGGGGUGGAAAGCCUUGUGCGGCUAGGGAUGGGCCCGCGGCCUAUCAGCUUGUUGGUGGGGUGAUGGCCACCAAGGCGACGACGGGUAGCCGGCCUGAGAGGGCGACCGGCCACACUGGGACUGAGACACGGCCCAGACUCCUACGGGAGGCAGCAGUGGGGAAUCUUGCGCAAUGGGCGAACGCCUGACGCAGCGACGCCGCGUGGGGAUGACGGCC